GCCGGGCGCGGUAGCUCAAGCCUGUAAUCCCAGCACUUUGGGAGGCCGAGACGGGUGGAUCACGAUGUCAGGAGAUCGAGACCAUCCUGGCUAACCUGGUGAAACCCCGUCUCUACUAAAAAUUACAAAAAACUGGCCGGGCGCGNNNNNNNNNNCGCGCCCGGCCAGUUUUUUGUAAUUUUUAGUAGAGACGGGGUUUCACCAGGUUAGCCAGGAUGGUCUCGAUCUCCUGACAUCGUGAUCCACCCGUCUCGG
rfam:Chlorocebus sabaeus isolate 1994-021 chromosome 20, whole genome shotgun sequence.